CUUAAGCCUAAUAUUUGACAAAUGCGGUCAAGAAACAACUUUCAGAUGUCAAAUACAAAAUUGAAAAAAUCUCUUCACACAAGGAAUCGACUAGGUUUUACCCUGUGCCCAAACUGAAGUUAAUCAUGAAUUGUCUAACAUUGCAUAAAAAUACAGCCCAGUCAUAAGCAGCUUAAGGAUAAGAACUUUUAUAUAAAUAGGGGCUUGCUCUAAGUGAUAAGAGUUAUUGAAUCAAAGCCAGGUGUCCGACUCAGAGAUACCCUCUCAAUAGGAAUAUAUCAUCCAAGAGGCUAAAGCAGACGAACUAUAGAGGGGCGUAGCCUCGGCUAGUGCUGCUUGCCCAUCUUAUGAUUUGCCCAACAUUGUACAGCAGCAGAGGGGGCUGCAGCUGCGACCCGCUGUGACUGCGGCUUCGCUUUGGCUCAUUUACUCUUGACUGCCGCGGACACAUUUCAAUUUGUGAAAAGCGGUCAGCGACAGCACUGAGACAUGAUAAAGUGUCGUCCAGGCAGUUGUCUGAAAAAAGUUCACACAAUUUAACAUAGAAACUCGCAGGAAGGCAAUGAUAAAGGCACAAAGGCACAAGUUUUUGGCCAGCCGAAGACGAAGAAACGCGUGCAACGUGCUGCAAAUAGUCUCUGUGCUCAGAAGCUGCUCGGACACUGGAUUUUUGUUUUUUUAAUCAUUCCGCUGAGCCAGAGGAAAAACUUUUAUGGCCUUAAUAAUAAUAAAUCAUCGGACGGCUUGGCGUUGACGAUGCGACGACAGCUUUGUGGACUUGAACAAAUUUUCAUUUCAAUUUAAUAGCCACAAGAUGAGCUGCCAGCCCAAUGGAUUAAGACAAAUAUGGUUAAGAAGCUUA